UGGAAGGAAGGAGAGGCAGGAGAAAAACAGCGGUGUGCACAUUCCUCUUACAAUGUUGUGGGCCUACUCUGUUCUGUUCCUGGGAUGGCUCUUCUCAGGUUUGGAGUCCCAGAUGAUAUUAACUCAACCAUCCUCCAUGUCUGCGUCUCCAGGAUCAACAUUUAACAUCCCUUGUCAAAUGAACACUGGCUACAGCAUUAACAGCGAGAGAGCCAGGUGGCUCCAGCAGAAACCCGGUGGCGUCCCACGUUUUCUGUACCACUAUUAUACCAGUACUGAUCAAGGCAGGGGAACUGGGGUCCCAGAGAGGUUCAGCGUUUCCCCUGAUGCCUCCCAGAACCUCUGGAAUCUAGUGAUCAAUGGAGUUCAAGUGGAAGAUGAUGCUGUUUAUUACUGUGCCUCAUGGGACUACAAACUUACUGGGUACACGGUGAUUGACUUUAACGAGGAACUGAGACAAAAACCUUUUGCUUGUCGCAUCUGCAGGUGA